rnacentral:rRNA from 1 species
UACGGAGGGUGCAAGCGUUGUUCGGAAUCACUGGGCGUAAAGGGCGUGUAGGCGGUCCGCUAAGUCUGAUGUGAAAGCCCGAGGCUUACCCCUCGGAAGUGCAUUGGAGACUGGCGGACUGGAGUCCCGGAGAGGAGGGUGGAAUUCCUGGUGUAGCGGUGAAAUGCGUAGAUAUCAGGAAGAACACCCGUGGCGAAGGCGGCUCUCUGGGACGGUACUGACGCUGAGACGCGAAAGCGUGGGGAGCGAACAGG